AUUGAACGCUGGCGGCAGGCCUAACACAUGCAAGUCGAACGAGUGGCGGACGGGUGAGUAAUGUCUGGGAAACUGCCUGAUGGAGGGGGAUAACUACUGGAAACGGUAGCUAAUACCGCAUACCAUCGGAUGUGCCCAGAUGGGAUUGGCUAGUAGGUGGUGUAAAGGCUCACCUAGGCGACGAUCCCUAGCUGGUCUGAGAGGAUGACCAGCAACACUGGAACUGAGACACGGUCAAGACGACUACGGGAGGCAGCAGUGGGGAAUAUUGCACAAUGGGCGCAAGCCUGAUGCAGACAUGCCGCGUGUAGGAAGAAGGCCUUCGGGUUGUAAAGUACGUUCAGCGGGGAGGCGGUACCCGCAGAAGAAGCACCGGCUAACUCCGUGCCAGCAGCCGCGGUAAUUC
rnacentral:rRNA from 1 species